rnacentral:rRNA from 1 species
UAGAUUGCUGGCGACCGGCGCACGGGUGAGUAACACGUAUCCAACCUGCCGAUAACUCGGGGAUAGCCUUUCGAAAGAAAGAUUAAUACCCGAUGGCAUAAUUAGACCGCAUGGUUUGAUUAUUAAAGGAUUCCGGUAAAGGAUGGGGAUGCGUUCCAUUAGGUUGUUGGUGGGGUAACGGCCCACCAAGCCUUCGAUGGAUAGGGGUUCUGAGAGGAAGGUCCCCCACAUUGGAACUGAGACACGGUCCAA